GCCUGGGUGGCUCAGUCGGUUGAGCCUCCGUCUUUGGCUCAGGUCAUGAUCUCACACUUCGUGGGUUCAAUCCCCACAUCAGGCU
rnacentral:tRNA from 1 species